GUCCACGCUGUAAACGAUGGGUACUAGGUUUGGUGGGUCUUGACCCCUGCCGAACCGGCGCUAACGCACUAAGUACCCCGCCUGGGGAAGUACGGUCGCAAGACUAAAACUCAAAAGGAAUUGACGGGGGCCCGCACAAGCGGUGGAUCAUGUGGUUUUAAUUCGAAGCAACGCGAAGAACCUUACCUGGAUUUGACAUCCUCUGACAACCCUAGAGAUAGGGCUUCUGUAGCAAUACAGCAGAGAGACAGGUGCUGCAUGGCUGUCGU
rnacentral:rRNA from 1 species